GAAAGAGGUGGCAAGCGUUGUUCGGAAUUACUGGGCGUAAAGGGCGCGUAGGCGGUAUAAUAAGUUAGGUGUGAAAUCUUCGGGCUUAACCCGGAAAGUGCACUUAAAACUGUUAUACUAGAGUUCGGGAGGGGAAAGCGGAAUUCCUAGUGUAGAGGUGAAAUUUGUAGAUAUUAGGAAGAACACCGGUGGCGAAGGCGGCUUUCUGGAACGAUACUGACGCUGAGGCGCGAAAGCGUGGGGAGCAAACAGG
rnacentral:rRNA from 1 species